rnacentral:tRNA from 1 species
UCCCCCGUAGUCUAGUGGUUAUGAUAUCCGCUUGUCAUUGUCCAAUGAACGCGGAUGGCCCGGGUUCGAUUCCCGGCGGAGGAG